rnacentral:rRNA from 1 species
GUCCACGCUGUAAACGAUGUCUACUAGCCGUCGGGGUCCUUAGUGACUUUGGUGGCGCAGCUAACGCGAUAAGUAGACCGCCUGGGGAGUACGGCCGCAAGGUUAAAACUCAAAUGAAUUGACGGGGGCCCGCACAAGCGGUGGAGCAUGUGGUUUAAUUCGAUGCAACGCGAAGAACCUUACCAGGUCUUGACAUCCUCGGAACUUGGCAGAGAUGCCUUGGUGCCUUCGGGAACCGAGUGA